rnacentral:rRNA from 1 species
UACGUAGGGGGCAAGCGUUGUCCGGAAUCAUUGGGCGUAAAGCGCGUGUAGGCGGCUCGAUAAGUCUGCUGUGAAAGUCCAGGGCUCAACCCUGGGAUGCCGGUGGAUACUGUCGAGCUCGAGUCCGGAAGAGGCGAGUGGAAUUCCUGGUAUAGCGGUGAAAUGCGCAGAUAUCAGGAGGAACACCAAUGGCGAAGGCAGCUCGCUGGGACGUGACUGACGCUGAGACGCGAAAGCGUGGGGAGCAAACAGG